AGCAGCCGCGGUAAUUCCAGCUCCAAUAGCGUAUAUUAAAGUUGUUGCAGUUAAAAGCUCGUAGUUGAAUUUCGGGAUUGACGUGAUGGUCGUGCCUUACGGGGUAUGAACUGUUGCUGUUGAUUUCUCACCUUCUGGAGAAACUUGAUGUCCUUAAUUGGGUGUCUUGCGGAUCCAGGACCUUUACCUUGAAAAAUUGAGUGUUUAAAGCAGGCAUUUUGCUCGAAUACAUUAGCAUGGAAUAAUAGAAUAGGACGGCAUGGUUCUAUUUUGUUGGUUUCUAGGAUCACCGUAAUGAUUAAUAGGGAUAGUUGGGGGCAUUAGUAUUCAAUUGUCAGAGGUGAAAUUCUUGGAUUUAUUGAAGACUAACUACUGCGAAAGCAUUUGCCAAGGAUGUUUUCAUUAAUCAAGAACGAAAGUUAGGGGAUCGAAGACGAUCAGAUACCGUCGUAGUCUUAACCAUAAA
rnacentral:misc_RNA from 1 species